rnacentral:rRNA from 1 species
UACAGAGGGGGCAAGCGUUGUUCGGAAUUACUGGGCGUAAAGGGCGCGUAGGCGGCCUGUUAAGUCGAACGUGAAAUCCCCGGGCUCAACCCGGGAACUGCGUCCGAUACUGGAUGGCUUGAGUUCGGGAGAGGGAUGCGGAAUUCCAGGUGUAGCGGUGAAAUGCGUAGAUAUCUGGAGGAACACCGGUGGCGAAGGCGGCAUCCUGGACCGACACUGACACUGAGGAGCGAAAGCGUGGGGAGCAAACAGG